ACCUAGUUAGCUCAGUCGGUUGGGUGUCUGACUUCGGCUCAGGUCAUAAUCUCACAGUUCGUGGGUUUGAGUCCUACUUUGGGCU
rnacentral:tRNA from 1 species